UUAACAAAAGAGAGUUACAUUUUAAAAUGUGCACUCAUCCGAAAAUCCUUGAAUGAUCUUUGAGAUUGCCUUCUCCUUUUGGACAAAACCCAGACGGAUUACGUUGAGAAACAAGAAGCUUUAUUCAAAGAGUUGUGCGGUUUAGGACCCGGGGAUACUGGAUUCGAUCUAGUUAAACAAUAUCAACUUCCGAUUCUUGAUGCUGCUAUUGAGAUUGUGGAGCGAAUUAGGGAAUGCCCCAGUUGGAGGAGAGAUAUGGUACCUUAUGAUCAAUUGGAUGGAGAAACAUAUGACGACUACCUAACACGUUUGAAAUCCGACAACGAGUUUACUGACGAAAGGAAUCGUAUGCAAGUCGAGCACAUGAAAAGACAACAUGCACGGUCCAGAUCGUAUCGAGUGGACCUUUUAGAAAAACAGUAAGAAGACAUCGCCCAAAAAAAUCAAGUUGAGGUUCAACGAGGGCUGGAGCAAAAGGAAGUUAAUGUUAG
rnacentral:lncRNA from 1 species